AUCCUUUUUUCUCUGUCGGAGGAGCUCUCUGCGUGUAUCUGCGUUCUCCUUUUCUGUUUUUGUUUCUUUUUGUUUUCUAAAGGUUUCGAGAGACCUAGCUAGCUUUAGGGUUUUGGACUUAAAGAGACAAAAAUAUGGGCCUAGCCCGAAUUGUUGGGUUUUGUUCGUUACAUAUAAAGUCUAAUAUAUUGAUCUCCUCUUGCUUUCGAGUAUAUCUAUUGGUGUUAAUUAUUCUCCAACUGACAUCGAGCGAGCAUCAAUAAGGACUGAGGAGAUAAGAGGAACAAAUCAUAGUGAUUAUUAUUGUUUAAUUAAUAUGAAUUAAAGUUUUUAUAUCGCCUCUGGUUUUCGUGACACUAGGCACAGUUCUCGUACUACUUGGAAUACUUUCCUAUGACCGUAAAUGCAAUGAAUGGUCUAAUAUAAUAAAAUAAGGUUUUUACAACACUCAAGCAAGAUUAGUAUCUCUCCUUUUGAUAUGUGUCU